rnacentral:lncRNA from 1 species
UGUUUUUUGUUUUUGUUUCUGUUUAGUAAUAAUUUUGCUUCUACCUUCUGUUUAGAUGUGUUUUUAUGUUUGAAUUAGUGUUUGUGCCAAGUAGAACCUAUAGGAUAACCUAUGAUGAUAGUUAAUUUGAUUCUGCUGAAAAAUAGAAACUUUGCACGCACGAAAUUAGUUUUGUUAAAUCACAGAAACGUGAUUUUGCAUUGAUUCUUUUUGCUGCUGAUCAAUAGACAAAUUUUACAGGACUUCCUAUUUUUUAGUAUUUUUAGGGUUCCAUAAGUUUGCGUUAGUUACAGAUUUCUACAGACUGUUCUGUUUUUGACAGAUUCUGUUUUUCGUGUGUAGUUUGCUUAUUUUGAUGCAUCUAUGGCUAGUAAAAUAGUUUAUAAACCAUAGAGAAGUUGGAAUACAUUAGGUUUAACACCAAAAUAAAUAAGUAAUGAGUUCAUUAGAGUACCUUUUUUUGACACUUUCAUUAGAGUACCUUAUGUGGUGGUUUUGUUUUCUUUCACUAACAGAGCUUACAAGAUUUCCUGUUGAGUUUUGUGUUGUGAAGUUUUCAAGUUUUGGGUAAAGCUUUGAUGGACUAUGGAAUAAGGAGUGGCAAGAGCCUAAGCUUGGGGAUGCCCAUGGCACCCCAAGAUAUUCAAGAAUAGCCAAAAGCCUAAACUUGGGGAUGCCCCGGGAAGGCAUCCCCUCUUUCGUCUUCGUUCAUUGGUAACUUUACUUGGAGCUAUAUUUUUAUUUGCCACUUGAUAUGUGUUUUGCUUGGAGCGUCGUGUAUUAUAUUAGUAUUUGCUUUUUAGUUUAACACAAUCAUACUUGUUGUACACACCUUUUGGGAGAAGCCUACUUGAUUGAAAUUUGCUAGAAUACUCUAUGUGCUUCACUUAUAUCUUUUGAGCUUGAUAGUUUUUGCUCUAGUGCUUCACUUAUAUCUUUUAGAGCACGGCGGUGGCUUAAUUUUGUAGAAAUUGCUAGUCUCUCAUGCUUCACUUAUAUUAUUUUGAGAGUAUUUUAGAACAACAUGGUAUUUGCCAUGGUUAUAAAAUUGGUCCUAGAAUGGUAGGCAUCAUAGUUGGGUAUAAUAAAAACUAUCAUAGGAAGUGAAUUGGAUGCUAUGAUCAAUUUGAUACUUGAUAAUUGUUUUGAGAUAUGGAGGUAGUGAUAUUAAAGUCAUGCUAGUUGUGUGAUUAUGAAUUUAAAGAAUGCUUGUGUUGUAGUUAGCAAGUUCUGUAGCAUGCACGUAUGGUUAAAGUUGUGUAACAAAUUUGAAACAUGAAGUGUACCUGGCUUGUGCAUCCUUAUGAGUGGCGGUCAGGGACGAGCGAUGGUCUUUUCCUACCAAUCUAUCCCUCUAGGAUCAUGCACGUAGUGCUUGAUUUUUGAUGACUUCUAAAUUUUUGCAAUAAGUAUAUGAGUUCUUAUGACUAAUGUUGAGUCCAUGGAUUAUACGCACUUUUACCUUUCCAUCAUUGCUAGCCUCUUCGGUACCGUGCAUUGCCCUUUCUCACCUUGAGAGUCGGUGCAAAAUUCACCGGUGCAUCCAAACCCCGUGAUAUGAUACGCUCUAUCACACAUAAACAUCCUUAUAUCUUCCUCAAAACAGCCACCAUACCUACUAUUAUGGCAUUUCCAUAGCCAUUCCGAGAUAUAUUGCCAUGCAACUUUCCACCGUUCCGUUCAUCAUCAUGACAUACAUUACUUUUGUCAUAUUACCAUUGCAUGAUCAUGUAGUUGACAUCGUAUUUAUGGCAAAGCCACCAUGCAUAAUUUGUCAUACAUGUCACUCUUGAUUCAUUGCACCAUCCCGGUACACCGCCGGAGGCAUUCAUAUAGAGUCAUAUCUUGUUCUAGUUUUGAGUUGUAAUUCAUGUGUUGUAAUCAAUAAAAGUCUGAUGAUCAUCAUUAUUAGAGCAUUGCCCUAGGUCAAAAGAAAGGCCAAAAGAAAAAAAGAAAGGCCAAAAGAAAAAAAGAAAGGCCAAAGAAAAAAAUAGAAAAAAAAGAAAGAAAAGAAAAAAAUAAAUAAAUAAAAAGGGCAAUGUUACUAUCUCUUUUUCCACACUUGUGCUUCAAAGUAGCACCAUGUUCUUCAUGUAGUGAGUCUCAUAUCUUGGGCUUCAAAGUAGCACCAUGUUUUUCAUACAGAGAGUCUCAUAUGUUGUCACUUUCAUAUACUAGUGGGAAUUUUUCAUUAUAAGAACUUGGCUUGUAUAUUCCUACGAUGGGCUUCCUCAAAUGCCCUAGGUCUUCGUGAGCAAGCAAGUUGGAUGCACACCCACUAGUUUUCUUUUGUUGAUCAUUCAUUUAUAGCUCUAGUGCAUCCGUUGCAUGGCAAUCCCUACUCCUCAUGUUGACAUCAAUUGAUGGGCAUCUCCAUAGCCCGUUGAUUAUCCUUGUCAAUGUGAGACUUUCUCCUUUUUUGUCUUCUCCACACAAUCCCCAUCAUCAUAUUCUAUUCCACCCAUAGUGCUAUAUCUAUGGCUCACGCUCAUGUAUUGCAUGAAGGUUGAAAAAGUUUGAGAUUAUUUAAGUACGAAACAAUUGCUUGGCUUGUCAUCGGGGGUGUAGAGUUUGGGAACAUCUUUGUGUGACAAAAAUGAAGCAUAGCCUAACUAUAUGAUUUUGUAGGGAUGAACUUUCUUUAGCCAUGUUAUUUUGAUAAGACAUGAUUGCUUUGAUUAGUAUGCUUGAAGUGUUACUAUUUCUUUUAUCAAUAUAAACUUUUAUUUUGAAUCAUUUGGAUCUGAACAUUCAUUGCCACAAUAAAGAAAAUUACAUUGAGAAUUAUGAUAGGUAGCAUUCCACAUCAACAAUUCUGCUUUUAUCAUUUACCUACCCGAGGACGAGCAGGAAUUAAGCUUGGGGAUGCUUGAUACGUCUCCAGUGUAUCUAUAAUUUUUUAUUGUUCCAUGCUAUUAUAUUACCCCUUUUGGAUGUUUAUGGGCUUUAUUUUACACAUUUAUAUUAUUUUUGGGACUAACCUACUAACCGGAGGCCCAGCCCGUAUUGCUGUUUUUUUGCCUAUUUCAGUAUUUUGAAGAAAAGGAAUAUCAAAAGGAGUCCAACGGAAUGAAACCUUCGGGAGCGUGAUUUUUGGAACGAACGUGAUCCGGAGAACUUGGAGUGCAAGUCAAGAAGCUUGCGAGGCGGCUAGGAGACAGGAGGGCGCGCCCACCCCCUCUGGGCGCGACCCCUAUCUCCUGGGCCCCACAAACGGCCACCGACGUACUCCUUCCUCCUAUAUAUUCCUACGUACCCCGAAAACAUCCAGGGAGCCAACGAAACACAAUUUACACCACCAUAACCUUCUGUAUCCGCGAGAUCCCAUCUUGGAGCCUUCGCCAGCGCUCCGCCGGAGGGGGAAUCGACCACAGAGGGCUUCUACAUCAACACCAUAGCCCCUCCGAUGAGUUGUGAGUAGUUUACCAUAGACCUUCGGGUCCAUAGUUAUUUGCUUGAUGGUUUCUUCUCUCUUUUUGGAUCUCAAUACAAUGUUCUCCCCCUCUCUUGUGGAGAUCUAUUCGAUGUAAACUCUUUUUGCAGUGUGUUUGUCGAGAUCCGAUGAAUUGUGGGUUUAUGAUCAAGUUUAUCUAUGAGAAAUAUUUGAAUCUUCUCUGAAUUCUUUUAUGUAUGAUUGAGUUAUCUUUGCAAGUCUCUUCGAAUUAUCAGUUUGGUUUGGCCUACUAGAUUGAUCUUUCUUGCCAUGGGAGAAGUGCUUAGUUUUGGGUUCAAUCUUGCGGUGUCCUUACCCAGUGACAGAAAGGGUUGCAAGGCACGUAUUGUAUUGUUGCCAUAGAGGAUAAAAAGAUGGGUUUUAUAUCAUAUUGCUUGAGUUUAUCCCUCUACAUCAUGUCAUCUUUCUUAAUGCGUUACUCUGUUCUUUAUGAACUUAAUACUCUAGAUGCAGGCAGGAGUCGGUCGAUGUGUGGAGUAAUAGUAGUAGAUGCAGGAAGGAGUCGUUCUACUUGUUGCGGUUGUGAUGCCUAUAUACAUGAUCAUGCCUAGAUAAUCUCAUAAUUAUUCGCUUUUCUAUCAAUUGCUCGACAGUAAUUUGUUCACCCACCGUAAUACUUACUAUCUUGAGAGAAGCCACAAGUGAAACCUAUGGCCCCCGGGUCUAUCUUUUAUCAUAUAAGCUUUCAAUCUACUUUUAUUUGCAUCUUUACUUUUUGCAUCUAUAUUAUAAAAUACCAAAAAUAUAUUUAUCUUAUCAUAUUAUCUCUAUCAGAUCUCACUUUCGCAAGUGGCCGUGAAGGGAUUGGCAACCCCUUUAUUGCGUUGGUUGCGAGUUCUUUGUUUGUUUGUGUAGGUGCGUGGGACUUUUGAGGAGCCUCCUACUGGAUUGAUACCUUGGUUCUCAAAAACUGAGGGAAAUACUUAUGCUACAUUGCUGCAUCACCCUUUCCUCUUCAAGGAAAACCAACGCAAGCACAAGACGUAGCAACAACCCCUUUAUCGCGUUGGUUGCAAGUUCUUUAUUGUUUGUGCAGGUAUUAGGUGACUUGUGCAUCGUCUCCUACUGGAUUGAUACCUUGGUUCUCAAAACUGAGGGAAAUACUUAUGCUACUUUGCUGCAUCACCCUUUCCUCUUCAAGGGAAAACCAACGCAGGCUCAAGAGGUUGCAGUGUUCUAGGUGGCGUGAGUUGCGAAACUAUUCCACAUUGUUUCAAAUGAAGACCAAAAUCGUAACUCAAAUAUUCGCCUCCACGAUCAGAUUGUAGAAACUUUACUUUCUUGUUAUGAUGAUUUUCCACUUCACUCUGAAAUUCUUUGAACUUUUCAAAUGUUUUAGACUUAUGUUUCAUUAAGUAGAUAUACCCAUAUCUGCUCAAAUCAUCUGUCAAGGUCAGAAAAUAACGAUACCCGCCACGAGCCUCAACACUCAUUGGUCCGCAUGCAUCAGUAUGUAUUAUUUCCAAUAAGUCAUUAGCUCGUUCCAUUGUUCCAGAGAAUGGAGUUUUAGUCAUCUUCCCCAUGAGGCAUGGUUUGCAAGCACCAAGUGAUACCAAAAGCCACUCAGCAUGGAGUUUCUUCAUGCGCUUUACACAAAUACGACCUAAACGACAGUGCCAAAAAUAAGUUGCACUAUCAUUAUCAUUUUGCAUCUUUUGGCUUCAAUAUUAUGAACAUGUGCAUCACCACGAUCGAGAUUCAACAUAAAUAGACCACUCAACAAGGGUGCAUGACCAUAAAAGAUAUUACUCAUAUAAAUAGAACAACCAUUAUUGUCUGAUUUAAAUGAAUAACCGUCUCGCUUCAAACACAAUCCAGAUAUAAUGUUCAUGCUCAAUGCUGGCACCAAAUAACAAUUAUUCAGGUCGAAAACUAACACCGAAGGUAGAUGUAGAGGUAGCGUGCCGACGGCGAUCGCAUCGAUCUUGGAACAAUUUUCAACAUGCAUUGUCACCUCAUCCUUAGCCAAUCUUCGUUUAAGCCAUAGCCCUUGUUUCGAGUUGCAAAUAUGAGCAACAGAACCAGUAUCAAAUACCCAGGCGCUACUACGAGCAUUAGUAAGGUACACAUCAAUAACAUGUAUAUCAAAUAUACCUUUCACUUUACAUCCUUCUUAUCUGCCAAAUACUUGGGGCAGUUCCGCUUCCAGUGACCAGUCCCUUUGCAAUAGAAGCACUCAGUUUCAGGCUUUGGUCCAGACUUGGGCUUCUUCCCGGGAGUAGAAACUUGCUUGCUAUUCUUCUUGAAGUUCCCCUUCUUCCCUUUGGCCUUUUUCUUGAAACUAGUGGUUUUGUUAACCAUCAACACUUGAUGCUCCUUCUUGAUUUUUACCUUCGCAGCCUUUAGCAUUGCGAAGAGCUCGGGAAUCAUUUUCGUCAUCCCUUGCAUAUUAUAGUUCAUCACGAAGCCUUUAUAGCUUGGUGGCAGUGAUUGAAGAACUUUGUCAAUGACACUAUCAUCAGGAAGAUUAACUCCCAGUUGAGUCAAGUGGUUAUGGUACCUAGACAUUCUGAGUAUGUGUUCACUGACAGAACUAUUCUCCUCCAUUUUGCAGCUAUAGAACUUGUUGGAGACUUCAUAUCUCAAAACUCGGGCAUUUGCUUGAAAUAUUAACUUCAACCCUUGGAACAUAUCAUAUGCUCCAUGAUGUUCAAAAUGUCUUUGAAGUCCCAAUUCUAAGCCGUAAAGCAUUGCACACUGAGCUCUCGAGUAGUCAUCAGCUUUGAUUUGCCAGACGUUCAUAACGUCGCAGUUGCUCCUAUAGCAGGCCUUGCACCUAGCGGUGCUUUCAGGACAUAAUUCUUUUGUGCAACAAUGAGGAUAAUCCUAAAGUUACGGACCCAGUCCGUGUAAUUGCUACCAUCAUCUUUCAACUAAGCUUUCUCUAGGAACACAUUAAAAUUCAAGGGAACGGUAGCACGGGCCAUUGAUCUACAACAACAUAGAUAUGCAAAAAAAACUAUCAGGACUAAGUUCAUGAUAAAUUAAAGUUCAAUUAAUCAUAUUACUUAAGAACUCCCACUUAGAUAGACAUCCCUCUAGUCAUCUAAAUGAUCACGUGAUCCAUAUCAACUAAACCAUGUCCGAUCAACACGUGAGAUGGAGUAGUUUUCAAUGGUGAACAUCUCUACUAUAUGAAUAAUGUUCGACCUUUCGGUCUCAGUGUUCCGAUGCCAUAUCUGCAUAUGCUAGGCUCGUCAAGUUUAACCCGAGUAUUCUGCACAUGAAAAACUGGCUUGCACCCGUUGUAUGUGAACGUAGAUCUUAUCAUACCCGAUCAUCAUGUGGUGUCUCGGCACGAUGAACUGUAGCAACGGCGCAUACUCAGGGAGAACACUUAUACCUUGAAAUUUAGUGAGGGAUCAUCUUAUAAUGUUACCGCUGUACUAAGCAAAAUAAGAUUCAUAAAAGAUAAACAUCACAUACAAUCAAAAAUAUGUGACAUGAUAUGGCCAUCAUCAUCUUGUGCCUUUGAUCUCCAUCAUCGAAGCACUGUCAUGAUCUCCAUCAUCACCAGCUUGACAUGUUGAUCUCCAUCGGAGCAACGUUGUCUUCUUGCCAACUACUGCUUCUACGACUAUUGCUACCGCUUAGUGAUAAAGUAAAGCAAUUACAUGGCGAUUGCAUUUCAUACAAUAAAGCGACAACCAUUUGGCUCCUGCCAGUUGCUGAUAACUUUGUUACAAAACAUGAUCAUCUCAUACAACAAUCUAUAUCACAUCAUGUCUUGACAACCCUUGCGGCCCUCAUCUCCUUUCCACUAAGGCCCAUGAAGGCCCACUACUUCCCCGAGGGGUUCCGGUAACCUCCUCGUACUCCAAAAAAUACCAGAAUCACUCCGGAACCAUUCCGUGUACAAAUAUAACCUUCCAGUACAUCAACCUUUACCUCUCGACCAUUUCGAGACUCCUCGUCAUGUCCGUGAUUUCGUCCGGGACUCCGAACAAACUUCGUUCAUCAAAUCACAUAACUCAUAAUACAAAUCGUCAUCGAACGUUAAGCGUGCGGACCCUACGGGUUCGAGAACUAUGUAGACAUGACCGAGACAUAUCUCCGGUCAAUAACCGAUAGCGGAACCUGGAUGCUCAUAUUGGUUCCUACAUAUUCUAUGAAGAUCUUUAUCGGUCAAACCGCAUAAGAACAUACAUCAUUCCCUUUGUCAUCGGUAUGUUACUUGCCCGAGAUUCGAUCGUCGGUAUCAUCAUACCUAGCUCAAUCUCAUUACCGGCAAGUCUCUUUACUCAUUUUGUAAUGCUUCAUCCCACAACUAACUCAUUAUUCACAUUACCUUCAAGGCUUAUUGUGAUAAGCAUUACCGAGAGGGCCCAGAGAUACCUCUCCGAUACACAGAGUGACAAAUCCUAAUCUUGAUCUAUGUCAACCCAACAAACACCUUCAGAAACACCUGCAGAGCAUCUUUAUAAUCACCCAGUUACAUUGUGAAGUUUGAUAGCACAUAAGGUGUUCUUCCGGUAUUCGGGAGUUGCAUAAUCUCAUAGUCAAAGGAACAUGUAUAAGUCAUGAAGAAAGCAGUAGCAAUAAAAUUGUAACGAUGAUAAUGCUAAGCUAACAGAUGGGUCUUGUCCAUCACAUCAUUCUCUAAUGAUGUGAUCCCGUUUAUCAGAUGACAACACAUGUCCAUAGUUUGGAAGCAUAACCAUCUUUGAUUAACGAGCUAGUCAAGUAGAGGCAUACUAGGGACACUAUGUUUUGUCUAUGUAUUCACACAUGUACUAAGUUUCCAGUUAAUACAAUUCUAGCAUGAAUAAUAAACAUUUAUCAUGAUAUAAGGAAAUAUAAAUAACAACUUUAUUAUUGCCUCUAGGGCAUAUUUCCUUCAUAGACAUGUGUUGUCAUUUGAUGAAUGGGAUCACAUCAUUAGGAGAAUGAUGUGAUGGACAAGACCCAUCCGUUAGCUUAGCAUAAUGAUUGUUCAGUUUUAUUGCUAUUGCUUUCUUCAUGUCAAAUACAUAUUCCUCCGACUAUGAGAUUAUGCAACUCCCGGAUACCGGAGGAAUGCCUUGUGUGCUAUCAAACGUCACAACGUAACUGAGUGAUUAUAAAGAUGAUUUACAGGUAUAUCUGAAGGUGUUUGUUGGGUUGGCAUAGAUCGAGAUUAGGAUUUGUCACUCCGAGUAUCGGAGAGGUAUCUCUGGUCCCUCUCGUUAAUGCACAUCAUAAGAAGCCUUGCAAGCAAUGUGACUAAUGAGUUAGUUGCGGGAUGAUGCAUUACAGAACGAGUAAAGAGACUUGCCAGUAACGAGAUUGAACUAGUUAUGAAGAUACCGACGAUUGAAUCUCAGGCAAGUAACAUACCGAUGACAAAAGGAAUAACAUAUGUUGUCAUAACGGUUUGACCGGUAAAGAUCUUCUUAGAAUAUGUGGGAACCAAUAUGAGCAUCCAGGUUCCACUGUUGGUUAUUGACCGGAGAAGUGUCUCGGUCAUGUCUACAUAGUUCUCAAACCCGUAGAGUCAGCACGCCUAAUGUUCGAUGACGAUUUUUAUUGUAUGAGUUAUGUGAUUUGGUGACCGAAUGUUGUUCGGAGUCCCGGAUGAGAUCACAGACAUGACGAGGAGUCUCGAAAUGGUCGAGAUGUAAAGAUUGAUAUAUUGGAUGAUAGUAUUCAGACACCGAAAAUGUUUCGGAAUGUNNNNNNNNNNNNNNNNNNNNNNNNNNNNNNNNNNNNNNNNNNNNNNNNNNNNNNNNNNNNNNNNNNNNNNNNNNNNNNNNNNNNNNNNNNNNNNNNNNNNNNNNNNNNNNNNNNNNNNNNNNNNNNNNNNNNNNNNNNNNNNNNNNNNNNNNNNNNNNNNNNNNNNNNNNNNNNNNNNNNNNNNNNNNNNNNNNNNNNNNNNNNNNNNNNNNNNNNNNNNNNNNNNNNNNNNNNNNNNNNNNNNNNNNNNNNNNNNNNNNNNNNNNNNNNNNNNNNNNNNNNNNNNNNNNNNNNNNNNNNNNNNNNNNNNNNNNNNNNNNNNNNNNNNNNGGAAGAUAUGGGCCAUAUGGGCCAUAGGAGGGAGGCACACCAACCCACAAGGGGUGGCACACCCCCCACCAGGGAAGGAGGCCAAAUUGGACUAGGGAAGGGGGCGGAUCCAACUAGGAGUCCAAGUAGGAUUCCUCCUACUUGGGCGCGUCUAGGGCUGGCUCCCUCCCCCUUCCUCCUUUAUAUACAUGGGGAAGGGGCGCCUACAAGACAGAUAAAUUGUUCCUAGCCGUGUUCGGCGCCCCCUUCCAUAGCUUACGCCUCCGGUCAUAUUCUCGCGGUGCUUAGGCGAAGCCCUGCGUGGAUCACUUCACCAUCACCGUCACCACACCGUCGUGCUGACAGAACUCAUCUACUUCCUCGACACUCUGCUGGAUCAAGAGCUCGAGGGACGUCAUCGCGCUGAAUGUGUGCAGAACUCAGAGGUGCCAUACAUUCGGUACUUGAUCGGUCGGAACGAGAAGACAUUCGACUACAUCAACCGCGUUAAGCAAACACUUCCACUUUCGGUCUACGAGGGUACGUGAACACACUCUCCCCCUCUCGUUGCUAUGCAUCUCCUAGAUAGAUCUUGCAUGGGUGUAGGAAUUUUUUUAAAAUUGCAUGCUACAUUUCCCAACAGUCUACCACUGGAAAUCACCUCUAGAUCCAAAAAAUAUGUUGUCGUGGCAACGAAAAUUGCAGUUGUAGCAACUUUUUGAUGGCGUGGUGGUACUUUCAGACAAUUUUAGUCUAUUCUCAAUACAGAUCAUCACAUAAUUAAUAAGUAGAUGAGACAAGCUAAUAACAUUAAACAAGUGACAAACAAUACAUAGUCGAGAAAGUGUGGAACUAAACAAUAAUAGACAAGCGUUCAAUCAUAUAAAACUACAUGUAUCAAGGUCGCUUGUCUUGCCGGUUGCACUCUUCUAUAUCGGGGCUACUGGCGGCGAUUGAUUCCUACAAGGUUGGCAUAGCAUCCUUAAUUGCCUUCAAGUGCGCCUCAGUUUCAUUCGACUCAUCUUCGCUGACUUCGGCAUGGAAGAACCUGGUUGACGAGCGGACCUACUUGUUGAUGACAUACGCAAAAGUAUUCUGAAUGCAUUCAAACUCUUUUCCUGAGUUGAAUGGCGUGCAUUAUAGGUAUCUACUUUAGUUGAUGACGUCAUUGGGAUGCUUGAACGCUGUGCUUGAAAAUAUGUAUUCUUCGAUGAGGAGGUAGACAUAGAAGGCACACUUCAUGCUACCAUUCGGGUGCUAUAUGCAAAUGACUUGAGUGUGUGCAAGAAGAGUUUUUUUACCACUUCUAUGGUGCCUCAUCACCAUGUAUUCUCUGGUAUUACUCCAGUCGAAGAGACAUUCAUAAGGAAGAGCAUCCUGUCUCUGUUUGGUACUUUUGCGGAAUUUGUGAAGUAAGAACUGGACAUCAUCAGUUGUAGCUCAAUAUGAAUACAGUGGCUUCUGUGCAAAUAGAUAAACAUACCACAAAUAUGAACAAGUUUAAACUUCGAUAUGUAAAAGCUUCAAGAACUAUAGAGAAUAUGACCAAGUUUAGAACACACCCCAAUAUCAUUUUUGCAAUAUGUAGUUCUGUUGAAUCUAUAAACAUAUUGUCUUACUCCCUCCGUUCCUAAAUAUAAGUCUUUGUAGAGAUUUUACUAUGGAGUACAUACGGAGCAAAAUGAGUGAAUCUACACUCUAAAAUGCAUCUAUAUACAUCCGUAUGUGGUUUAUAGUGGAAUCUCUAUAAAGACUUAUAUUUAGGAACAGAGGGAGUAGAAACUAGGGGUCAAAGUUAUUUUUCAAGGCUGUAUAGAAGUGCCAAUGUCCAAACUAUAGCCUUUAGAGGAGGCGAACCCCAACCCAGCUUAAAAAUACGGAAAUGUUAACGCCCACACGUGUGGGCGUUCACCAUCUCGACCACACGCAUCCAUCACCGUCAAGUACUUUAUGCACGAAUCUUGGCACAAUCUGGUCGAUUUUCUGCGCCACGUAGGACAAGGCGCGUGUGUGGUGUGUGAGAUAGUUCGCCCGCAUGUUGGUUGCCCUCCCGCGCUCAGCGGUUGCCACUCGGGGGCGUGCGGUCGAACUGCUAUGCGCCCGCACGCCACACACUGACCAUGGUUGACGUCAAACACAUCGCGCACUUCGCCCCGCUCUCCCUCACGGUUCCAUUUACUCACCCCCGCAGUUACUCGCACAAGCCACUUCGCAUUUCAAACCAUUGGAGGAGAAGACGAGGGGAGAAGGCGACGGCGGAGGCGGAAGAUUCGAUGGUGUUCGCGGUCGUCGGUGGUGCUCGCCAGAUGGGAGCGGCUUCGCCGGAGCGCCUGCAAAUUGAAGGUAAUACUCGCUUGAACUCUCACAAUCCUUUCCUGCAUUUUUCCCCUUCCCUCCCUGUUCGAUUCCUCGCUCGAGAUUCGUAGAGAUUCAGGCGAUUUGGCGACGCGUCGGCGUUCCUGCCGGCGGUGGAGUCCUGUGCUAGCCAUUUUCGGUGGCACUGGGCAGUUUCGUCGCCGCCGCGGCGGCGGCCUCGUCGGUGUGGUUCUGCCUGUCCGGAGGCACACACUGGUUGUGCCUUGGGAUUGGGCUGGUGUUUUCCGGUCUGUUAGUUGCGCAUUGGUUCGAAUUGGUAUUUGUAAUCAGUUCGGGGAGAAUUUUGAGGUUAAAUUUGAAGUCAUUGUAGUUGCCAUUGAACCCUAGAUCUAGUUAGUUGUUUUUGAAACUGAAGUAUGAAGGCAAACGUGAUAGUUUGAGUAACUAUCAUGAUUGUAUAGGCAACUAACUCCUGAAUGACUGUGAUAGUUGCCACAAACAUGCUUUCCCAUGCGGCAACUAACUUCGUAAAAUGACUGUGAUAGUUGCCACAAACAAGCUUUCCCAUGCGGCAACUAAUUUAUUGAAUAACUGUGAUAGUUGCCACACAAACGCUUUUCCAUGUGGCAACUAAUUUCCUGAAUUACUGUGAUAGUAGCCAUAAACAUGCUUUUUCAUUGUGGCAACUAAUUUCCUGAAUUACUGUGAUAGUUGCCACACUGUAUGAAUGGUAAAGUGUAGUAAAUCGGUAGUCACUGCAGUUUUAGCAACCAACUGCACUAGAUGGCAACUAAUCUGCACAUCAACUGUGCCUGUUGCCACAUGGAUAGUAUAUUCUUGUGGCAAAUAGAAUGUGAACACACUAUGUCUGUUGCCAUACUGUAGACAGGACAAUGUGGCAAAUUGGCUGCAUAACAUGGCAACCAAUUUGCACAUCAAUUGUGUCAGAUGCCAUACAUAUGCUUUCCAUGUGGCAAGUAUUUUGUCUGACCACAACAUGUCUGUUGCCAUGUUACAGUCAGUAUAAUGUGGCAAAUUCAUUGUACUGCAGAUGCAAUUUUCAUGUUUUGCCAUGAUGACUUGUGAUAUCUAAACACACCAUGGCAAUUUUCAGGUUCUUCGUUAGAUGUUUUCAUCGCCUUUUAGUAUUAUGUGUUGCAUUUUAACAUGGCAAUUUCAACCUAGCACAUUUUUGCCGCUGAACACAUGGCAUUUCAUUGGUGUAUUUAGGACAGGGUGUGAGCUGCCACAUCUUAGUUUUUGUGCAGUGGAGGAUUUUGUGACUUUCUAUCGUACUAUCUUGGGCUAACAUGGCAACUUCAACAUUUUGUUUUCAAGUGCACUUAUGAUAUGUACACUUUUUUUUCAAAAUGUAACCAAUGUGCUUAAUUGCCACAUUUAUGUUUUCGACAAUCAUGGGGGGGGGUGCAUGCGUGUUCAUGUGAUAUUUUGCAUUCACUAGUUGACAUUUUCUGUUAGCUGGCAACUGCUUACAUCCCACAUUUUCAUUUUCCACCAUGACAAUUUGGUCUGUUCCUACCUCAGCAGAAUGGCUCGUGGUGAUCAUAAAAAUGAUGAUGAUGAUUUCAUGGAUCCACCACAGCAGAAUCGGGCAACUGGACGGAGAAAAGAGGGCGAUGAGGUAACUGUCCACACACACCCCCUCCUCCUGCUUAUGUUAUUGGUUGCCACCUCGAGCUUGCAGUCAUCUGUCAUGAACUAAAAUUUCAUGACAGUGCAAAACAUGGCAACAACUGAUCACUUUUUGUCUGUGUUUUACUGAAGAAGAAACGUAUUCACAACAGAGCCUCCCAAGAACGACUGACUACAUUGACUGACAGAUUUACCGACGAUCAGAAGGGAGCUGCUGCUGAGAUGGGUAUGCAGGCUGUGAUCAAUGUCCGGUGCGUGAACCUUGUCGACCCUGUAUGCGACUGGCUUGGUGAGAUUUACGACCCCGCCUCUAGGGAAUUUGUGAUUCCGGGACGUGGAAGACUACCGUUGAACGAGGAAUCCGUGUUCUGCACUUUGGGUGUGCCUCGUGGACAUAUCAAAGUCCCGUACGAGGUCAAUAACGAGAUCGAGGAAGCGUUGUUCCCCCGUUUGUUUCCUGGGUUGGAAUCCAUGCCGAACACGUCUGUACUGGCAGAUUCGCUGCAGGCCAUGACAACCCAUGGAGAUGUUUUUAAGAUGAAGCUACUCAUGUACCUCAUCUCAGCUGUUUUCGCGCCGACCACUUCUCUUCGCCCAAGCAACAAAUGCUUCCCCAUCCUGGUGAAUGAUCCAUCUUUACUACUUUAUUUUCCUUCAAUCUUUUGGCUCCGAUGUCAUGUGUAAAGCUAGUCACUGCCAGUGUUUUUUGAUGUUUUUUCCAUUUGAUUUCUGAUGCGGCAACUCGUUGUCCUGUAUUUUUGUGCGGUGCAGGCGGAACUGAAAAAUGUGAAGAACAUGAAUUGGUGUAAGUUUAUUGCCGACUUCCUGCACGAUGCAUUCUCAAGCAAGAUGUACCAAAAGGGUUGUCGACUGCAUUUAAUGGUAUUUUUUUGACCAGUCCUUUCUGUGAACACUCUUUUUUAACACACUUUUAUUCAUGCAUGGCAACCUGAUAAUAACAAGAUGGCAACUAUCAUAAUGACAAUAUGGAAACUGGCACAAUGACAAUAUGACAACUGCCACCAUAUUAUUAUGGCAACUGUCAUCAUACUAUGAUGGCAAUUGCCAUCAUGACAAUAUGGCAACUGCCAUCACACUAUGAUGGCAACUAGCACAUACAGAUGGCAACUUCUUCUUUUUCCUCUUUUUCAUGCACUACAACUUGAUUAUUAUGGGAACAUAGAUUAUUCUAUUUUUUCCGCAAAGUACCAUGAUGGUAACUGAUAUUUCUUUCUUUUUAAAAUUGUUGUUCAUCAGCUCAUGUACGUCGACUGUCUUGAUCUGUCCAUCGUGGAUUUCACUGGGACAGGAGACCCGCCGCCUACGCACAAGUUUGCUGUUUCUCCGUGGGCUAUCAACGCUGUCAAGGCUGUGCUUGCCACAAACAGGGUAACUAAUACCAAAUAUGGAAAACUGCAGGUUAGUUCUGGUUUCUUUCUCUACACGGCAUGCUUACAAAUUUGACAUGCGGCAACCGUCUGUGGUUCACAAGAGAUGACUACCUUUGUUAGCCAUGGUUGUCUGCGUAUUGUAUCCAUGUCUCACUCCACAUGGCAACUCUUUCAUUCGUGCUGAAACUUACAUUCGGGUCUUCUUCUUUUGUUGCAUUUGCAACACAUGAACUGCUAGUCAGUCUUCAUCAUUCUCUCUCUUACAUCCUAGCUAUUUUUUUUGUUUUUUCCAGCUGAUGGCCAAGCAUGCUAUAGACUACAACGUGUUUGGGGGGCCUCAAAACUUUGGAAAGUGGAUGGACGUGCACUCAGCUCCGUCUUGCCCUACUGAGGUAAUCAAAAGAUCUACAUCUAUGGUUUGCCUUGGAUUAUUUUUGAUGUCGCGCAAGUGACUGUAAUAUGGGUGGUUAUUGAUGCUGCUUGUUUUGUGCACAGGCGAGGGCACCUGUUGAGCAUCUAAUUAGGCAGUUUGCAUCCGGAAUGACCGGCUUGCUUGGGAAGUUGGUUGAGGGGUGGACGUCCCUCAGUGGCUCUGACAACGACGCGGUUGCGAGGCAGUUCACUUCAUUUGUCCUAGAACGUACACAUCGACCAACUGGUUGGCGUGGCCGGUAUGACUACAACAGUUCCCAAGAGCUUGCUGGCACACAAGAUGAACUAGAUGGAGACGCUGGUCUCAGCAAGGAUGACGACGAUGACAUGGAGAACGUGCAACAGGACACUGAUGAUGAUAAACAUGCCGAAGUUCGUGCAGGUGGUAACAAGGGCAAGGAUGCACCAGAUGUCCCCCCACCGGAGAAAGUCAAAGAAUAUAUGACUGCGAGAGGCGAGGGGGUGUUUCCAUCAAAGAGGGGGAGGGCUCUAGAGGAUGUUGGGCAGGGUUCUCCUGGCAAGAGGUCUAGGACCAAUCCCUUAGCUGCCAGGAGGAGGUUCGACUUUAAUUUUAGUUUUUUGCUUUGUCUAUAUUCUUGGAAAAGACUGAUCCCUUUUUGCACUUGUUUUUGCCAAGCGCGGCAACGAGUUUUCUAUCUGACAAUUGCCACCUUUUUUUUCCUCCAUCUCAUACGUGCAGUGAGCCGACAGCUGGUGGACGAGCAGUUACGAAGAAACAGGCGCCAACUCCAACCUGUGUUUCUGCUCGGUUGAACAAAGGUGCCCCAUUGCUGGUGACACCCCUUCCACUAGGUCAUCUCCUCGUACGACAUCCAACACCGGGGAUCCUGUCGUGUUGCCAGACCUGAGGAAGCCAGUCAAGAAGUAGGUUUUCCAUGCGCUUUCAUUGACAUAGUGCUAUAUUUUUUUGAUUUUUCAAUGCACCCGUUCAGCUUGUCACAUGGUCUUCUGUCAUCAUCCCCACAUGGGCAACUGAUGUUUUUCAAAUGAUUUUUUCCUUCCUUUUUAAGUGCAUGGCAACUCCUACUUGUUUUUACAUGGCAACUGGCAUCUAGGCCAAAUGGCAACUCUUACUGUACCUAAUGGCAAUUGUCAUCUUUUCCAUUGGCUUCUGUGCUUAUCCCAUACCUAGUUUUGAAAUUGCAUUCAUGGAAGAACAGACAUUUUUAUCAUUCUUCAAGUUGGCUAACAUAGCAACUACUACUGGAUUUGCAUGGCAACUUCUAACUAUGCCACAUGGCAACUCAUAUUCCCCUUACAUGGCAACUACCAGCUUUUCCACUUAUUUUUCAUUUUUUUAAGAUUUCCACCAUGGCAAAUAUAUUUUGUUCAUUUUUAAUACCUUUUUCAUGUGCUUUCUUUUUGCAGGGUGAAGAAGACUACUACACGUGGGGCCAAGCAUAUCAGUAAGGACCUACUCAAACGCCUUCAUUCAAAGUUGUCAACAGGGGGCAACUCAGAUGUUCAUGAGGCGCUAGGCGACAAAACUGCAACUGCACCGUCAACUGCUCCCACUAACUCUGACGCAAGUGGCCAACCAUCUCCGCCGGUUGCAGAUGUGCAGGCUAGAACAACAGGCAUCCAUACAUCAGGGAGUGACGAGUCGCUAUAUGCCAGGACAGCUGAAAUAUUGCCAACUCUUCUGGCAAUGAAGGAUGCUGCUGUGAGCCAUGCCAUCCCAUCAGCAAGCGUUGAAGUGGACGCUCCCGAGGCCAACCUAAGCAAGGAAAAUUCCCACUCAUCUGACACUGAUUCCAAGCGCGUGCGUGGUGGCACUCCUGUGUCCACGACAGAAGUGGCUGAGGCGGCAGUUCACAAUGAUAUGCCAUCUAUAGGUGAGAGUCUUGGGACAACAGCUCCAGCUCCUGUCGGUGCAGAUACUGCUAAGGCGACUGUUUCGCGUGCUGGUCUUCCACCUAGGCAUCGUAGCCCCGCAAGCAAUCAAUAGUCAUACCCAAUGCACCAGCUGUAGCUAGGAGCAGCAGAGACGAGUCUGGUUAUGUUCCUGUGUCCACACUAUUCCCGCCACCUGCCAAAAGAAAUGUGAUGGAGAAACCGGAAGACUGGAGCACAACUGAUGCAGGUGUCAAGCCGGGCACGAGUGACGUAGGUGAACGUCCGGAGCAGACUGCGCCUUUACCCGCAGUGGAAAUCCCCAGCUUAAAUCUGCGCACUUCCAGGCUCCCAGUCAAUCUGGGUGUCCCAUACAGCCCAAACAAGAAGAUUAUCAAGAAAGCUGCGGCUGAUACUGCUGACAACACGCCCCGCCCUACAAAUAAGCCCGAUCAUUCUGUAGCGGCCGAUUCAGAUAUGUUUGUUGAUCUUUCACCCUUGGAUUCUGCCCCGCAAGUUGUUCGUGGUCCGGCCAGUAGGCAUGAGAGGCACCCAAUGGCCUUCACCCCACCGAGCUUUAGUCUUGGUAUAAGUCAAGAUCAACCAGUGGUGCCAGAUCCUAUGCCAGUUGUCUUUGCUUUCCCAGGAGGCAUGCCCGCAAUGAUGGCGCAGCCAAUGGUCGAGGGCAGGAAGGCUGUCAAGUUCGCUGAGCCGAUAGUCCAAGGUACAUUUAUCAUGUGCUUAUCAUUUUCUUGUAUACAUUUUUGUAGUUUGACUUUUGUCCCAACCAUAUUUUUUGGGGGGGUUCUCACUUGUGAUGGCAACUGAUAUGUGAUGACAUGGCAACUGGAUUUGAUGCACCAUGUCACCUAUAUUUUUUUGCUGCCAUGCUGCAUUUCACAUUGGGUAACCACAUGGCAACGGAAGUUGAUUCAACGUGGCAACUGUAGUUGUUAUCACAUGGCAAAUACAGUGCAAUACACAUGGCAACUGGAUUUGCUGCACCAUGUCACCUGCAUUUUUUGUUUCCAUGCUGCAUUUUUCCAUUCGGCAAGCACACGGCAAGUGGAGUUGACACAACAUGGCAACUGUAGUUGCUGUGACAUGUCAACUACACUGCAACUACAUGGCAACUGUAGUUGCACCACACAUGGCAACUCCUCAAUUUUUGUACCUACAUUUCACAUCAUGCACCCUAUCUUCUCACAAUCCAUCUUUUUUGAUUUCUAGGUAUCCUAAUCCACUUUUUUGAUCCUUGCAGCCACCCCUGAGGAGAUUUCACCGUCACUUGAUGAAGCUUACCGCAGGAUCGAGGAGGCAGCAUUGCAGAGGAGGUCCUCACGAUGGCAGGGGCAAUCAAGUUCCAACGUGCCUGCAAAUACGGUAUCUGAGGAUACCAUUAGGAGUGCCACCCCUGGUUCUGUGAGGUAGCAGAGGGUAGUUCACCCACCUCCCGCGAAAGACUAUGAGCCCGAAUUCAGGGCCACAAAGGAACAAACCCAGCUGUAUGAUAUUGUCAAGCAGUAUGGAAAUGCGAGGGCCAGCAGCAAGCACAUGAAGGAGCUGAAAGCGUAAAUGACCACACCACAUAAUCUCUCAUUUUGCUUUGCUCCUUUUUUACCAUUCAUCUUCUUCGUACUUUCUAUACAUGAUCCGCUUAUGUUUUAGUUCUUUCAUUUUUUUUUACUUAGUAGGCUUGAUUCUUUCAUGUUAUAUCAUUUUCAUAUAGCUCAUGUUGGACAGAACCAAGGUCAUUCAAUACGAAGCGACGUACGUCGACCUGGGUGAUCUUGCCGAGUCUAUGAGGCCAAACGGUAAAAUGUCGACGAAUGUAGUUGCAUGCGGGAUUGACUACAUCAACAAUCAUACGGAUGUGUGUGCCGACAAAAUAAUCAUGCAUUACAGUGUGACCUGCAAAAUAUGGGAUGGUGACUUCCACCACAAAAUACCGAGGAAGAAUUUUGCUCAACACGGUGAAUUCAAGCUCACACUGAAGAAAUAUGUGAGUACUCCUUCCCUGUUUGCACUUUUUUUCACAUGGUAUGGUUUUUUGCCAUCAUCUCCACUCUGUUUGUGUGGCAGAUGUUUCAUGUGGCAAUAGCUACCGUGCAAACUGACUUUUUGAUUUUUUUGCAUCCCGUGCAAACUAUGUGGCAACUUCAUAGUAAAAUACACGGCAAAUUUUGUUCAUACAUGGACGGCAACUUUCUUUUCAACUACCCCCACCAUAACUAAACAUUCUACGUGAUUCUACUUUUUUUGUCCCUCUGCUGUUCUUCAUGUGAACUCUGCUUCUCAUUUCCUUCACUUUUACAUGCAGGUCAUGUUCCCUAUGUUCCAGGAGCUUGCACCACACGACCCAAACGACAAGUGUGGUCACCACUAUGCGAUCUGUCUUGACCUGAAGAACCAACGCUUUGAGGUGCUUGAUUCAAUGUGUUCGACACCUGAUGCAGACCUUACUUCGCAUGCUGAAUUCUUCAUCAACAAUGUCAAAGAGACAUGGAACCGUCACUACGAAAACUCAAAGGUCCAGAUCAGACAUUUCCCGGUUGAGUACGUGGCGACUACGAAUCAAGGGAACACGUAAUUUCCUACCCCCUCCUUCAUGUGCCAUUUACAUCAAUCCCACCCCUCUUUUGUUGUUACAUCUGAAUUGAAGUUUAUCACUGCUAUGUCUGUCCUUUUUGCAAGUUCACCUGACUCUUUUUCUAGUGCAGGACAGACUGUGGCUUUCACACGUUGAAAUACUUUGCAAAGUGGGAAGGUAGACUUGUCCCCGCUGUCACAGCUGCAACGGUCGUCAAGCUCCGGAAAAUUUACACAUGGAACUGGUUGACGAAUGAAGAUUUCAACAAGCGGUCCGGAUUAUGCGAGUUCGUGGAGGAACCUGUCAAGAAAGUCAUCAAGAAGUACAAGUGAUCACGUGGCGUUACACACCAGACGCAUACCUUACAUUCUGUUGCCGAGGAAUGUAAGGUACUAUCUCUUUGUUCUUGUCAAAACCAUGUUCGUGCGAUGUUAUGACUGCAACCCCACGUAGCCUAGUAUGUAGUGGUGGUGUGUGAGCGACAUUUGAAUAUUUUCUAUAAUAUAUGUGUGGAUGUGAACCUACUUAGGCGUGACAUCCGAUACGUUUUAUGUUUAUCAUUAUCACUAUGGUUUCAUCGUUUGUAGCAACAGUUUGCUGCUUCGAAUUACGAUGUUUUAAAACAUGGCAAAAUGUAGUUCAUCAGAUAUGGUCAGUGAAAGUCCUCGUCGUUUUUCAUUUGACUGUUUUGCUUCUUCUUUUUCAUCGCUAACUGUACCGGCUAGCAUGCUAGUUUGAUCAUGUAGCCGUAACCUUUCCUGUGGUUGAUGCACGUUAUGCUUUUUUCAAUUUGUUUCCCAUACAUUGCACACAACACACUAUGUAUGACUAAACCGCGACGAAUUUUCAUGGAAAUAUAUGCGAUGCAGAGUCAUUACAAAUACCAUGUCAUUUCAGUACAGCUAACAUGGCAGAUUCAGUACAAACAACACGGCAGAUCCAGCAUAAUUAACAUGGCAGAUCCAGUAUAAUUAACAUGACAGAUCCAGUACAACUAACAUGGCAGAUCCAGUACAAUUAACAUGGCAUAUUUAGUAUAAAAUAGCACGGCAUAUUUAGUAUAAAAUAGCAUGGCAGAUUAACUACACAUAACAUGGCAGAUUAAGUACCCAUAACAUGGCAACUGCAAUUAUCCAUUCAAUGUAUUUUCCUUCAACUUCUGAUGCCCCUCAAGAGUCAUUCUCCCAAUUUAAAAAAAAUUCACAACAUCUAGGGUACAAAACAAAAUGUCCACAAGGACCAUGUCAUAGCGCCCCAAUUUUUGCUUAUGGAUUACCCGUCCCUUUGUUCGUUUUCUUGUGUUUUGCUUGAAUCUCCAAUCCCGAUUUGUACCUUACCUCUCUUGGACGACCCUUUGUGAUGGAACGGGGUGGGUUCCUGACCUGGGUUUGUGUGCUUGCUGUUCCAGAUGCUAUCUCCGAGUUUUUAGAUGAUGGCCCCGUGGAUGAAGGCACACUUGAUGUGCGGGGGAACCGGUGCAAGGCUUCCUCAGCUUUCCUCUUCUUGAUCUCAUCAAGCUCUCUUUUCAGGGCCUUCCUGUGUUUUUCUGUGACUCUCGCUGUCUCAUCACUCUUGCAUGCUUCAUCAAUUAGCUCAGCAUAGUUCUUUGUCAGCACAACGUGCCUCACGGCUUCCAUGAUUGCCUCAGGUCUCUCGUCAUGCACAGCCAGAACUGCGUUUGUUGUCUGCGGCGCAAACGCGUCGUCAGCGUCCCAAGUCCAUCGCCGCCUUAUGAAAUGGCAGGGCAUCCGUGUCACAGCGUUCAUGUCCAUUACUUUUAGUAUGUGACAGCACACAAUGUCAUCCCGUUCAAACUUGCAGCAUUGGCAGUAGUAUUCGCCUUCGCCUAUCGAGGCUUUGACGAAGUAGUUCCUUCCUUUGUCCGGGUCUUCAGGUUCUGAAUCUGACAUGCCCAAAAUAGAACACACCUUGAAUGUAUGUUCGUCCACCUACAAAGCCGUGAACAUGCUGGCAUGCUUUAUUUCUUCCUGGAAUCUGCAAGUUUUAUGUGUUUUCUGUUAAACUAUCGUGCACUCUUUUUUUGUAGCACCUUAUGUUGUCAUGGAAAUAGAAAUACAUUUUAUUUGAACAUGACAAACAUAGUACAUUGAACAUGGCAAAUAUAGUACCUUGAACAUGGCAACUGCAGUACACUAGACAUGGCAACUGCAUUACAUCAGACAUGGCAACUGCAAUACACUAGACAUGGCAACUGUAUUACAUUUUCAACUGGCCAUCGUCAUUUCCACACCAACAUUCCCCAAUGGAAGCACAUUGCAUAAAACAUGGCAACUGCAUUUUUAUUAAACAUGGCAUCUACAGUUGAGUAAACAUGGCAAUUGCAUUUCAACGAACAUGGCAGUUGCAUUUUAGCAAACAUGUCAAUUGCAUUUCAGCACAUGUGCCGACAAUAUAUACAUUUUUUCAGUUGACAUUGGCAUUUGCAUACCAACAUGCCCCAAUGGAAGUACAGUGCAUUAAACAUGGCAACUGCACUUCAUUGAACAUGGAAAAUGCAUCCGAGCAAGCAUGGCAAACAGAAUUUUCAUUGAACAUGGCAACUACAACUGAGUAAGCAUGGCAAACAGUAUUUCAUUAAACAUGGCAACUGCAUAUCAUGGAAACUGCUUUGCACUCUAUAUGGCACCUACUGCCUUAGUGCUUUUGCGCAAAUACGACUGUAACGCAACUGACUUACUUGUUAAAGAUCUUGUUGGUGUAUAUCUUGCUCAUUUGCCUCUCCAUCGGUAAAUAUGUUAGCAAUUUUGGCUGCUUUAGUGCGGUGGUCACUUCUUGCUGUAGCUCAGAUCCCAGAAUUUUUUGUUGCAAAGCUGUGUACUGCUUAGCAAGCUGUAGCAAUGAGUUGCCAGGGCUCAUGUACCGCUUCAAAACAGCAUUGAAUCCCUCACUGCGCUGCCUAGUCUGCAGAAAGGGGAAGAAGCACUGCAUGAAGUAGGCCGGCACCCAGUACAUUCUCUUCUCCCAUAGGCUAGCAAGAGUCUCGUUGUCUUGGACUUGAUAUGUUUCAAUCAUGGCCAUCCAGUUCCUUUCAAACUCCUCCACCGUCAAGCUGUGGUCCACGCACAGCUCGAAUGCCUUGUGCAGCUCUGGACGGUCAGCAAAGAACGGUCCUAGCGUCUCCUCAGCCUUCUUUAUAAUGUGCCACCUGCAGUGCCUGUGCACUGCCAACAGAAAGACCUCCUCUAUGCCUGCACGCAUGCUGAAAUCCUGGUCUGUUAUUGUGUUCAUCGGAGCAAGUCCAUCCAUGCACUCCAAGAAGGUCUUGAACAGCCAAACGUACCCAUCCGUGUCUUUGUUCCGAAUGAGCUCACAGCCAAACUGCAACGACUGAUUGUGGUUAUUUAUUCCUAUGAACGGAGCACAUGGCAUCUUGUACAUAUUAGUGAGAUACGUCGCAUUGAAUGCAAUGCAAUCUCGGAAAUGUUUGUAGGCUCUCCUUGCAGCGCCAUCCACCCAAUACAUGUUCCUGACACGGUCCUCAUCGUCCAACCUUAUCCUGUAGAAGAAAUCUGGAUCUUCCUUCGCUUUCUCAUCGAAGUAGGCCAUUGUGGCCUCUAUGUCAGCCAACUUGCUCUCUCUAUGGUACUUUGCCUGUAGGUUUGUGACGUCAGUUGGUAUGUAGGGCAUGCUACUCAGAGUCCCCUUUUUGCUGUGGAUGAGUGAUAGUAUCUGGACCAUUCUUGAUGGACCGACGUUACAAUCAUGUAGCAGCUUUAUGAAUUGCCUUUCGACGAGGGUGAAUCCUUUGUGGGCGGUCAGAAAUUAUACCAGGUCGAACUUCUUUAUGAGUUUGUGGUUGUGCUCAUCAAAGUAUUCAGUGACCACAUACUGUGUUCCAUCUACGUUUAGCUUACACCGGACAGGGCAUCCCGGCUUGAGAAUGAUACCUCUUUUUCGUUCCGGAACGACAGGCGCAACACCUUUCCCCUUCUUGUUCCUUCGUGCCUUGUGGCACCUCAUCUCACCUCUGCUGUAUUUGUUAGUUUUCUUAAUUUUCCUAUGGUAUUCGGUGUUGACGGCAAACCCAUGGAACUUUGCAUAUGUCUGGUAGAAUUCCUUUGCUUCUGCAAACGAUUCAAAUCUCUGCCCAAUGUACGGUGGCUGAGGUACCAUGAUCUCUGAUUGCCCAUCAUCUUCAUCCCCUUGUGCCUCAUCGUCAGUUUCAUCAUUCACUUCAGUAUCAGCGGCAGUUUCAUCUACUUGAGUGUUGCCAGUGCUUGUGUUCAAAGGGGUGCCUGUCGGAAUUGCUGGAACGAUUGCCAUUUCCGACUCUGACUCGGCAUUGUUUGCGGCAUGAUUGUCUGGUGGCUGGUGGAACGCGUCUUCCGUGCGCUCAGAGCUCCCCGCAGUAGAUGUCCCCGCGCCGCUGUUCACUGUAGUUGUAGGCCCUGUAAUAGAAAAAACAGGUAUGAGAGUAAGAUUUUUGUUUGAAUAACAUGUUCAUCGCAACGGAUCACAUCAACUUCAAGUGAUUUGGCAUUAGAUCAUUCAAACAGCAAGCCAUGAGUCUGUGCGUGGACAUAUGGCAACUGUAGUUGUCCAGUCAUGGCAGCUACAGUCCAACAAACAUGGCAACUAUUGUUUGCCAAUGCACGACAACCAGCUUUUUUAGUACGAAAACUUGGGUUCUAUAUGCAUGGUAGCUGCAGUUCUGUAUACAUGGCAAAUACUGCUACCAAUACAUGGCAACCACUGUGUUCUAGCAUCAAAACUAUUGCAUUCUAAGCCUGCUCUCACUAGGCAAAUGCGAUCAACCAUUAGCGCUGCACACAUGCUUUUAGCAGUUGGCAAAUUCUCGAAGACAAUACAUGACUCAUUGCACACAACCACUUGUUAGCGUUUUAUGCUUGGUUUUGUCCACCAUCACUGCUACAAAUCUUCUUUUUCGUCACGCGCUAUUUUUUUCCCAUAAAAACAAAUGUAGUGCUCUUUUGUGGUUCAAUUUUUUCCUUACCUUAUUGUGCUGCAUGUGCCCAUCUUGUGUGGUCUGUGACACCAAAUUGACGUGCUCUAUCUGCAAUCUGUGAAGCUUGCCACGAGAAGUUUUCCGGGUUACCACCACCGUAAUAACCUGUAAGCAUCGUAGUAGUUGGUCAAUACAUGGCAAAUGCAGUUUGUGCUAGCAUGGCAACUGCAGUUGUCCUGGCAUGGCAACUGCAGUUAUUCCUCCAUGGCAACUGCAGUUGUCCAGGAAGGGCAACAAUAGUUGUCCAGGGAUGACAACUACAGUUAUUUAUCCAUGGCAAUUGCAGUUGUCCAGUCAUGGCAACUGCAGUUGUCAACUAUGCUCAUUCUGCUAAUUCACCGUCCGCAACUUCACUUUUUUAUGGACUCAUCUGUGUAUGACGUUGAUGGCAGGUACAUGGGUGCUGCCUGAUGCCACGUGCUGCACGAAGGCUUUGCAUUUUCACCCGUCAUAACUCGUGAGUCUUUUUUCCAACCUUUGCAAGUUUAUUUUUCAUGUCCAGACCAGUAUGUGUUCUUUUUCGUAUGCGUUACCUUGAUUAGCCACAUUAGCUAGUUUAAGUUGGUUGCCCGUACAUUUGUCAGUGAUAGCGCCCUGUGACUGAACUUGCCAUGGAGGCCCCCUGAGUGUGUUUUGGUCAUAAGAACCUACGAAAAAAUGACAGUGUACGACAUAAGUAGAAUGUCAUCUUCAUCGUUGCGAACAUGGCAACUGUUCUUUUCUUUUGUUAUCACGCAUCAUACGAAUGCCUGCAUACUAUUCUAGUAGUGGCAGCAAUGGCCCUGCAGAAAUGAGUUGACUGUACUCUGAUGCAUCCCAAGGGGGCAUUUCUGGCCUUUGAGAACCCCAAGUAUCAGCGCCAUCUUCGUGAUUCAUUCUUUCCGCGUCUCGCUUCCAAUGUGUUCUCAAUCACUGCAUGAACAAGAACGCAUCAACAAUCCACAAGAAUUGUAUUCUUCCGCUGCUUGCACAUAGAAGAUAACACGUCAGUGUUAUCACAUUUUCAUGCAUAGGCAACCAACACAUCGCGGAAAGUAGGAAAUGCACAUGGACACUCUUUUUUCUAAAAUUUUGUGUGCUAGCUAUCCGUUCGAUUAGAUGGCAACAACCACUACAAUAGGAUGGCAAGCAACAGGUCAACCUGGUGGCAGUUACUGACAAUGAAAGGUGGCAACUGACGUUAUACACAAGUGGCUAUUAAUUUUUCCCACCCCCCUUUAUUCCAAAUUUGUCAUUCCUCUCCUUUUUUAGGGAUUCCUACUCAUCCAUUUCAUAACCAACUACUUGCGUCAAUCAAACUAGGAACUUAAGUUAAUCUCAAGCAUAGUACAUGGCAGAUCUGGUGUAUUCUGCUUGGCAAAUGUGAAGAUACACCGAACCAUGUAGUGUUUUACCCCUAUAGCAUGGAUCUAGUCGCCACCUUCAUCUAUAAAUUUUGCAAUUUUCUGCCCAGAAGAAGGAUGAGAAGCAGUAUGAGAUCGGGAGAUUUCACCUGCUUUUAGCUGAUCGUCUUUGGAGGGCGGGGUUGGAGUGGGGGGCUGGGGGUGGGGGAGGGUUGGGGUGUGGUUUGUGGUGGGAAGGCCCUACAGAUCUGCUCUGCUUGCCAUGGCAACCAGAGAAGCCCGGUGACGGAGGUAGGGGUUCGAGAGGUGGGGGACGAUGGCGACAGUCGAGAGUGGGGAUCGAUCGGAGGCCGGGAACGACUGGGUUGUCCGGGCAGCAGGGUCGUCUGGCCCGGACGGGGUCGUGCGGGCGGGGUUGCCACACACCGGACAUGCGGGCUGUGCAAUUGCGCGCCCGAACGCAGUCGUGCGGGCGAGUUCCUGUCCAUACCACACGAGGCGUACGGGCGGGUUCCUAUCCAUGCCACACGUGUGGCAGUUAUCGGGACCCUAAAAAUAAGCCCCUCAUAAGGUCAACUCUGGCCGAUCCCCUACCGGACUAUAGAGGAGGUAAUUUUUGGUUUCACUCCUUUAUGCCCCACCCAACCAAAGUCCUAGACCGAAUAGAGGAGGAUAAUUUUUACUCUGCCUCCAAUCCGGCGCCUAUAUUUAUUUGGCCGCUACCGCUUGAAGGAAAAAAAAAUCCCCUUCCACCUCCGCUACCUCACCCAACUCGACUCCCGAGCCGAAUCUAUGUUGGUGGCAUCCUUUCCGUCCCUGCUGGCCACCAACCACCACCGUGGAUGCUUGGUAGAACCGUCCGUGGUCCUCGCCCACCCAGAUUAAUUUGAGCCUCUCUCGCACCGUCACCGGCGCAAAAUUGGCAGAUCUAUGACCGCCGCCACUGGAUUUGGCGCAUCCGGUCGCCGGUGACCGCUCUUUUACCAUGGAUUGAUCGGAUACCGAACUGCACAGCCCCGGCAACGCGUCUGUGCCACAUGCAGGUUGCUUGGAUCUAACUCGUCGAUGGUUCGCCGGCAAAGACACGCACGGCCGUCUGCCGGGCUCGAUGCUAGCCCAAUAGCUUGUCGGCUCCCUGUUGCCGGUCAUAAUGUGUGACGACUGCCCACGGCAGGUGUUGCGCCGAGGUUCGACCAUGCCGGAACACCCCGGAUGGGUGUUCUUCAAGUGCAAAAAGAUGGGGUGAGUGUGAGUUUUGAUUCGGUCGUUCAUCAGAUUCGGCACAAUUUGUAGCUCAUUGUUUGCUCAAAUUUGUGUGUAGGAUGGAUGCAAGUUUUGAUAUUGGAAGGAAGAUUACAUCGAUCUAUUGAUAGCGAGAAAUUUGAUAGAUGUUCGUGCCGAAGAAGAAAUAAGUGUCCAAGCUCGAGAAGUAAAUAGAGAGAAUUAACAAUGAAGACAUAGUGAAAAUAUUAAUCCAACUAGUAGGAGCAGUUAUGGAAGUUGGAUAUCCAUUAAAGUGUCUAAUUGUGGUUCUUGUUUCCUUUGAUUUCGUUCUCGUAGCGAAGAAUUGAUGAAUUAUGUACUCCAAUGCAUCACAAUUAAUAUCGUUCAAUGAAAUGAAAUAAGCAAUGGAAAAUGUUUCGGUGGCCGAAAAUGAGAUACUAAUGAUUUUUUUACUCCGUUACAUUUAGUGGGCCGGGUAGGAAAUUUACUCCAUUGAAUCUUUACUCAGCCGGUUUCUUGUUACUCAUGGAUUUGUGAACUAGGGUUCAUGAAGGAGAGGAGACAUUGGGGAAAAUUCUGGGAUCUUCUACCGAUCCCCUUCUCACAUCUCUUUAUUUAUAUUUUUGUUCUUUUACAAUGUAGUCCUCCUGUCCUUACAUAAUGACAACUCACAUCAACACUCCCCCUCAAGAUGGGGUGAAUAUAUUAUACAGACCCAUCUUGCUACAGAAAAUAGAGAAUGAUUUCUCAGGUAGACCUUUUGUAAGUAUAUCCGCUACUUGACUAGAUGAACUUACAUAAGGCAUACAUAUUAUUCCUCUAUCCAAUUUCUCUUUGAUGAAGUGACGAUCAAUUUCCACAUGUUUGGUUCUAUCAUGUUGCACUGGGUUAUUUGCAAUAUCUAUGGCAGCCUUGUUAUCACAGUAUAGCAUUAGUGGUGAUUCCUUGAACAACCCUAGUUCUGUCAGUAAAAUCUUUAACCAUAAUACUUCACAUACACCAUGUGCCAUGGAUCGAAACUCAGCUUCUGCCGUGGAUCUAGCCACAACAGUUUGCUUCUUGCUGCGCCAUGAAACUAAAUUCCCACCAACGAAGGUACUGUACCCAGAUGUUGAUCGUCGAUCAUCCAGUGAGCCUGCCCAAUCUGCAUCAGUAUAACACUCAACCUGGAGGUUUCCCUGAUGACUGUACAGUAAACCCUUCCCUGGACACCCCUUCAAAUAGCGUAGGAUUCGAGUCACGGCAUCCAUAUGAGAUGAUCUUGGGUCAUGCAUGAAUUGGCUCACUACACUAACAGCAAACGCAAUAUCUGGUCGAGUAUGAGACAGGUAAAUGAGCUUACUGACUAAUCUUUGAUAGCAUUCACGGUCCACGGGUUUUCCUGAAUCACUCAACAGGCGAUGGUUUUGCUCAAUUGGGUUUGCAGCUGGACGACACCCAAGCAUACCUGCCUCUUGUAGUAGGUCUAGGACAUAUUUUCUUUGGGAAAGGAAAAUACCUUUUGGUCCUCUAGAUACUUCUAUCCCAAGAAAAUAUCUCAAGUGUCCCAAAUCCUUGACUUCAAAUUCUUGCGCAAGAUGAUGUUUUAAGUGAAUAAUUUCCUCUUGGUCAUCACCUGUGAUAACAAUGUCAUCCACAUAUACAAUGAGGACGACAACCUUGCUCAUUCUACGUUUGUAAAACAUGGUGUGGUCUACAUUGCUCUGAGUGUACCCAAUUCUCAACAUAGCACGCCGAAACCUAUCAAACCAGGCCCUUGGCGAUUGUUUGAGCCCGUACAAGGAGCGACGUAAGCGAAGUACCUUUCUUGUAACAUAGCCAGACUCAAACCCUGGUGGGAUCUCCAUAUACACUUCUUCUUGAAGGUCGCCAUGAAGAAAGGCAUUUUUUACAUCCAUCUGGUGAAUGUUCCAAUUCAAGUUUGCUGCACAUGAUAUGAGUGUUCUAACAGAAUUCAUUUUUGCUACAGGUGCAAAUGUUUCCUCAUAGUCAAUUCCAUAUGUUUGGGUAUAUCCCUUUGCCACAAGGCGAGCUUUAUAUCUAUCCACUUUACCCUCUGGGGUAUGCUUAAUGUUGAAAACCCACUUGCAACCUACAGGUUGUUUACCUGGUGGUAGAUCCACAAGCUCCCAGGUUUUGUUCUUUUCCAAAGCUCGCAUCUCUUCAAGCAUUGCUUCCCUCCACUUUGGAUCCUCCUUGGUUGUGUCCCAAUUAUUAGGUAUGGAUGUGGAAUCUAGAGAUGUAAUGAAGCUCUGAAAGGAUGGGCUACAAUGUUUGUAGGAGAUGAAAUUGGCUAUGUUGUGUUUAUAACCAACGUCGUAGUCUUUUAGGUGUGGGGGAAGAUUUAAGGUUCUAGUUGGUUUUCUCAAGGCAAUGGGUAAAUUACCUCGCGGAACAGAUGUCGACAAUUGGUUAUCACUCUCACCCAUGGUGCUAGUAGGAGAAAUAGGACUAGGAGAGUGAUCAUCAGUACCUGGGUCAUCAUGUGCAGAGUGAUCAACAUUCUGUGAAGGUGAUACUGAAUCUCCUGUUGCAUCUUGCAUGUCUCUAUGACCAAAAUUGUUACUCUCCUCAUGAUUUAUCUCUUCCCCAUGUCUAGGAAUAUUAUUAUCAAGAGCAGAAGCAUCUGGAGUAGGGACAAGUAUUGAUCCAAUAAGGGUGCCCCCACCACUGCUCUCCCCAUCUUGUCCUACUUCAGGUGGGGAUAGAGCAAUGCCAGUGUCAUUGGCUGAUCCAAGAUAAUAAGGUUCAUGUUCAUGAAAGGUCACAUCCAUACUCACAAAGAACCGACGUUCAGAGGGACACCAACACCUAUAGCCCUUUUGAGAAGGAGAAUAGCCCAUAAAGACACAUUUGAUGGCACGGGGAUCUAAUUUCUCAACAGAAUUUCGAUAAUCAUGCACAAAAGAAACACAACCAAAUACCUUUGGAGGGACCACAAAAUCAUUUGUGUUCAAAAGACACUCAGCUGGAGUCUUAAACUCAAGAGUGCGUAGAGGCAUAUGAUUUAUUAAAUAUGCUGCUGUUUUUAUUGCCUCCCCCCAAAGAAACUUAGGGACAUUCAUGGUGAACAUGAGUGAACGAGCAACUUCAAGUAAAUGCCUAUUCUUACGUUCUGCAACACCAUUCUGUUCUGGUGUAUUUACGCAUGUAGUUUGAUGCUCAAUGCCAUGUGAUGCAAGGAACUGUCCAAACUCCAUGUUAACAUAUUCAGUACCGUUGUAAGAACGUAAGGUCUUUAUAGUUGUUCCAAAUUGGUUUUGAAUGAGAGCACACAAAUCUUUGAAAACAGGGAACACAUCACUUUUACGCUUCAAAAGGUAAAGCCAAGUGUAACGACUAAAUCCAUCAAUGAAAGUCACAAACCACCUAUGUCCAGAAACAGAAUAAACCUCACAGGGCCCCCAAACAUCAGAAUGUAUUACUUCAAAUGGUUUAUGACUUCGCAAACCCUUGCUAGGAUAGGUACCCCUUGUAUGUUUUGCUAAUUCACAUGCAUCGCAUACAAGGGAUUCUCUAGAACACAAUUUAAAGAGAGAGGGAUAAAUACGUGACAUAGCAGCAAAAGAGAGGUGUCCCAAUCUUCGGUGGUGAAGUAACAAUUCUUGAGUAGGAGACAUGCAGGUUGCAAGAGCAAUUUCAUCUCCCCCUUCAUCAAGAUAGUAGAGUCCCU